rnacentral:lncRNA from 1 species
CCUUAUUAAAUUCUAAUCGUUUAAUUGGCUGUUUAUGGUCACGUGAUAUUGAAUAGAAAAUUCCAUUUCCCAAGAGUGCAAUGGAACGCGUUCCAUUGCACUCUCCGCGAGUGCAAUGGAAUAAAACGUAUAGUACAAUUGCACUCUUUGUGUUUUCGAUAAAUCGCAUCCCUCAAAAUGCUUCUCAUACGAAUUUAUUAGUCUGUUCUGGACUUUUGGUAUUAUAUAAAACAAAUAAUGAAUGUUUCUUCGUGCAAUGGUAAGAAUAUUUUCAUUCGGUGAAAGACGGAAUGUUCCAUUCAACUCGGC